rnacentral:tRNA from 1 species
GGGGCUAUAGCUCAGCCGGUUAGAGCGCAUCCCUGAUAAGGAUGAGGUCCGUGGUUCGAUUCCACGUAGCCCCA